CUUUAUAUAAAGAUAUAAUGAGAGUGUUGAGAAUUAUGUCUUAAAGUCAAUCGUUUGACGAUUGUGUUAAUUAUAAAUAUAUUUAAAUUGAUCAAUAAUAAAAGUUAUUUGACUUUUCUCAUCACAAGAUGACAUCUUCUAAUGAACUCUUAUAUUGUGAUGAAGUCCUUAGAAUUAUUUUGAUCGAUAAAAGAGGAUUUAUCGCAUAGUUCUUAAACUGAUUCCAACCAAAUGAUACACUAUAUUAAGACGAUAGCGAUAUCAAGUGUAAGUUGUUGUGUACCAUAUGUGUUGAUUAUCCUCGUAACCA
rnacentral:lncRNA from 1 species